rfam:Nelumbo nucifera unplaced genomic scaffold scaffold00418, whole genome shotgun sequence
AGUCCAUUAUGAGGGACCUUCCUCAUUAAUUCCUUAUAACACUCCCAUGACUUAUACAAUGAUUCCCUAUCCUGCUAAGAGAAAGUGGUGAUAUCAUUCAUCAUCUU